rnacentral:pre_miRNA from 1 species
UGUUAAAAGUUUCAUCUAUUUCUACUAUUAAAAAUUAGCGUAGCUGUCGAAAUAGCCAGUUAUAUGUGGCAUGCCACAUUUAAAUCAUACUAAUGUAUAGGGAUACUGUAAAAAUGGAUGGAAUUUUCAAUA